rnacentral:rRNA from 1 species
GACAGAGGGUGCAAACGGGGUUCGGAAGUACUGGGCGUAAAGCGCGUGUAGGCGGCUAAGUAAGUCGGGCGUGAAAUCCCACGGCUCAACCGUGGAAGUGCACUCGAAACUGCAUAGCUAGAGUCCUGGAGAGGAAGGUGGAAUGCUUGGUGUAGAGGUGAAAUUCGUAGAUAUCAAGCGGAACACCGGUGGCGAAGGCGGCCUUCUGGACAGUGACUGACGCUGAGACGCGAAAGCGUGGGGAGUAAACAGG